rnacentral:rRNA from 1 species
GAUGAACGCUGGCGGCAUGCCUUACACAUGCAAGUCGAACGGCAGCACGGGUGCUUGCACCUGGUGGCGAGUGGCGAACGGGUGAGUAAUAUAUCGGAACGUACCUUAUUGUGGGGGAUAACGCAGCGAAAGCUGUGCUAAUACCGCAUAAUCCCUAAGGGGGAAAGCGAGGGACCGUAAGGCCUCGCGCAAUUAGAGCGGCCGAUACCUGAUUAGCUAGUUGGUGAGGUAAAGGCUCACCAAGGCAACGAUCAGUAGCUGGUCUGAGAGGACGAGCAGCCACACUGGGACUUAGACACGGCCCAGACUCCUACGGGAGGCAGCAGUGGGGAAUUUUGGACAAUGGGGGCAACCCUGAUCCAGCAAUGCCGCGUGAGUGAAGAAGGCCUUCGGGUUGUAAAGCUCUUUUGUCAGGGAAGAAACAGCAGCUCUAACACAGUUUGCGAAUGACGGUACCUGAAGAAUAAGCACCGGCUAACUACGUGCCAGCCGCCGCUGUAA